GGUGAACGCUGGCGGCGUGCCUAACACAUGCAAGUCGAACGAUGAAGUCCUUCGGGAUGGAUUAGUGGCGCACGGGUGAGUAUACCAUAGAUAAUGUACCUCUUAGUUCGGGAUAGCCACUGGAAACGGUGAUUAAUACCGGAUACUCCUUCUUGUCCUAAGGCAAGUCGGGAAAGUUUUUUCGCUAAGAGAUCAGUCUAUGUCCUAUCAGCUAGUUGGUGAGGUAAUGGCUCACCAAGGCUAUGAUGGGUAUCUGGUUUGAGAGGAUGAUCAGACACACUUGAACUGAGACACGGUCCAGACUCCUACGGGAGGCAGCAGUGAGGAAUAUUGCACAAUGGAGGAAACUCUGAUGCAGCAACGCCGCGUGGAGGAUGACGCAUUUCGGUGUGUAAACUCCUUUUAAGAGGGAAGAUAAUGACGGUACCUCUUGAAUAAGCACCGGCUAACUCCGUGCCAGCCGCCGCAGUAAUAC
rnacentral:rRNA from 1 species